rnacentral:lncRNA from 1 species
AAAGAGAAAUCGUAUGAAUGUGAAGAAUGUGGGAAAGAGUUUAGGCAUAUCUCAUCCCUUAUUGCACAUCAGAGAAUGCACACUGGAGAAAAACCAUAUGAAUGCCACCAGUGUGGUAAAGCCUUCAGCCAGCGUGCACACCUUACUAUACAUCAGAGAAUUCAUACUGGAGAGAAACCCUAUAAGUGUGAUGACUGUGGGAA